UCCGCCCGCUGGCGGCGUGCUUAACACAUGCAAGUCGAACGGAAAGGCUCCAGCUUGCUGGAGUACUCGAGUGGCGAACGGGUGAGUAACACGUGGGUAAUCUGCCCUGCACUCUGGGAUAAGCCUGGGAAACUGGGUCUAAUACUGGAUAUGACCUUUCUCCUUAUGGGGUUUGGUGGAAAGUUUUUCGGUGUAGGAUGAGCCCGCGGCCUAUCAGCUUGUUGGUGGGGUGAUGGCCUACCAAGGCGACGACGGGUAGCCGGCCUGAGAGGGUGAUCGGCCACAUUGGGACUGAGAUACGGCCCAGACUCCUACGGGAGGCAGCAGUGGGGAAUAUUGCACAAUGGGCGGAAGCCUGAUGCAGCGACGCCGCGUGAGGGAUGACGGCCUUCGGGUUGUAAACCUCUUUCAGCAGGGACGAAGCGUAAGUGACGGUACCUGCAGAAGAAGCACCGGCUAACUAGGUG
rnacentral:rRNA from 1 species